UACGGAGGGUGCAAGCGUUGUCCGGAUUUAUUGGGUUUAAAGGGUGCGUAGGCGGUUAAUUAAGUCAGUGGUGAAAUCCUGGAGCUCAACUUCAGAACUGCCAUUGAUACUGGUUGACUUGAGUACAGACGAGGUUGGCGGAAUUGAUGGUGUAGCGGUGAAAUGCAUAGAUACCAUCAAGAACACCAAUGGCGAAGGCAGCUUGCUGGGACGGUACUGACGCUGAGGCGCGAAAGCGUGGGGAGCAAACAGG
rnacentral:rRNA from 1 species